rnacentral:rRNA from 1 species
GAUGAACGCUAGCGGCAGGCUUAAUACAUGCAAGUCGAGGGGCAGCAGGUUUGUAGCAAUACAGAUGCUGGCGACCGGCAAACGGGUGCGGAACACGUACACAACCUUCCUUUAAGUGGGGGAAUAGCCCGGGGAAACCCGGAUUAAUACCCCGUACAUUAUGAGUGGCAUCACUUUAUUAAUUAUAGCUCAGGCGCUUAAUGAUGGGUGGUGCGGCUGAUUAGAUAGNGGGUCGGGGGUAACGGGCCCACCCAAGUCUGCGAUCAGUAACUGGUGUGAGAGCACGACCAGUCACACGGGCACUGAGACACGGGCCCGGACUCCUACGGGAGGCAGCAGUAAGGAAUAUUGGUCAAUGGACGCAAGUCUG